rnacentral:rRNA from 1 species
AUUGAACGCUGGCGGCAGGCCUAACACAUGCAAGUCGAGCGGAUGAGUGGAGCUUGCUCCAUGAUUCAGCGGCGGACGGGUGAGUAAUGCCUAGGAAUCUGCCUGGUAGUGGGGGACAACGUUUCGAAAGGAACGCUAAUACCGCAUACGUCCUACGGGAGAAAGCAGGGGACCUUCGGGCCUUGCGCUAUCAGAUGAGCCUAGGUCGGAUUAGCUAGUAGGUGAGGUAAUGGCUCACCUAGGCGACGAUCCGUAACUGGUCUGAGAGGAUGAUCAGUCACACUGGAACUGAGACACGGUCCAGACUCCUACGGGAGGCAGCAGUGGGGAAUAUUGGACAAUGGGCGAAAGACCUGAUCCAGCCAUGCCGCGUGUGUGAAGAAGGUCUUCGGAUUGUAAAGCACUUUAAGUUAGGG